AACGAACGCUGGCGGUAUGCUUAGCACAUGCAAGUCGAACGAACAAAAUUGGGGCUUGCUCCAAUUUUAGUGAGUGGCAAACGGGUGAGUAACACGUGGGAAUCUACCUAUCAGUACGGAAUAACAUUUGGAAACAGAUGCUAAUACCGUAUAUUCUCCAAGGCGGAAAGAUUUAUCGCUGAUAGAUGAGCCCGCGCAAGAUUAGGUAGUUGGUAGGGUAAUGGCCUACCAAGCCUACGAUCUUUAGCUGGUCUGAGAGGAUGAUCAGCCACACUGGGACUGAGAUCCGGACCAGACUCCUACGGGAUGCAUCAUUUGGGAAUAUUGGACAAUGGGCGAAAGCCUGAUCCAGCAUUACCGCGUGAAUGAUGAAGGCCUUAGGGUUGUAAGCUUCUUUUAGUUGGAAAGAUAAUGACGGUACCAACAGAAAAAGCCCCGGCUAACUCCGUGCCAGCCACCGCCGUAA
rnacentral:rRNA from 1 species